GACGGAGGGUGCAAGCGUUGUUCGGAUUGACUGGGCGUAAAGGGCGUGUAGGCGGUUGGUCAAGUCUGGUGUGAAAGCCCGGGGCUUAACCCCGGAAGUGCAUUGGAAACUAGCCAGUCUAGAGCGCGAGAGAGGAGGGUGGAAUUCCUGGUGUAGCGGUGAAAUGCGUAGAUAUCAGGAGGAACACCGGCGGCGAAGGCGGCCCUCUGGCUCGUUGCUGACGCUGAAACGCGAAAGCGUGGGGAGCAAACAGG
rnacentral:rRNA from 1 species